UACGUAGGGUGCGAGCGUUAAUCGGAAUUACUGGGCGUAAAGCGUGCGCAGGCGGUCUGUUAAGACAGAUGUGAAAUCCCCGGGCUUAACCUGGGAACUGCAUUUGUGACUGGCAGGCUAGAGUAUGGCAGAGGGGGGUAGAAUUCCACGUGUAGCAGUGAAAUGCGUAGAGAUGUGGAGGAAUACCGAUGGCGAAGGCAGCCCCCUGGGCCAAUACUGACGCUCACGCACGAAAGCGUGGGGAGCAAACAGG
rnacentral:rRNA from 1 species